AUGUGGAUGUUUCCCUACCCAAAGUGGAAGGCGACCUCAAAGGCCCAGAGGUUGACAUCAAAGGACCCAAAGUGGACAUUGAUGNNNNNNNNNNNNNNNNNNNNNNNNNNNNNNNNNNNNNNNNUGAAAAUGCCCAAGUUCAGCAUGCCUGGCUUCAAAGCAGAGGGCCCUGAAGUGGAUGUGAACCUGCCUAAGGCUGACAUUGAUGUCAAAGGCCCCAAAGUUGACAUUGAGGCUCCAGAUGUGAGCAUUGAGGGUCCAGAAGGGAAACUGAAGGGUCCCAAGUUUAAGAUGCCUGACAUGCACUUCAAAGCCCCCAAGAUCUCCAUGCCUGAUGUGGACUUAAAUAUUAAGGGGCCCAAAGGAAAAGCAGAUGUGGAUGUAUCAUUGCCUGAGGUAGAAGGUGAAAUAAAAGUGCCAGAUGUGGACAUUAAAGGACCCAAAGUUGGCAUUGAUGCUCCAGAUGUUGAAGCUCAUGGACCAGACUGGCACCUUAAGAUGCCUAAAAUAAAAAUGCCCAAGUUCAGCAUGCCUGGCUUCAAAGGAGAGGGCCCUGAGGUGGAUGUGAACCUGCCUAAGGCUGACAUUGAGGUCUCAGGACCCAAGGUGGACAUUGGUGUUCCAGAUGUGAACAUUGAAGGUCCUGAUGCCAAACUGAAAGGACCAAAAUUUAAGAUGCCAGAAAUGAAUAUAAAGCCUCAGAAGAUAUCCAUGCCAGAUGUUAGCUUGAAUUUGAAAGGCCCUAAAGUGAAAGGAGAAUAUGAUGUCUCAGUUCCAAAAGUGGGAGGAGAAAUAAAAGCUCCUGCUGUUGACAUCAAAGGCCCUAAAGUAGAUGCACCAGAUGUGGACGUUCAUGGUCCAGACUGGCAUCUGAAGAUGCCCAAGGUGAAAAUGCCCAAGUUCAGCAUGCCUGGCUUCAAAGGAGAGGGCCCUGAAGUGGAUGUGAACCUGCCUAAGGCUGAUAUUGAGGUCUCAGGACCCAAGGUGGACAUUGAGGCUCCAGAUGUGAAUAUUGAAGGCCCAGAAGGGAAACUGAAGGGUCCCAAGUUCAAGAUGCCGAGCAUGAAUAUACAGACACAUAAAAUCUCUAUGCCUGAUGUUGGGCUUAAUCUGAAAGGACCUAAAGUGAAAAGUGAUGUAGAUGUUUCUCUUCCAAAAGUCGAAGGAGAUUUGAAAGGUCCUGAAGUUGAUGUUAAAGUCCCUAAGAUGGAUGUGGAUGUUGGUGAUAUUGAUAUUGAAGGUCCAGAAGGGAAACUGAAGGGCCCCAGGUUUAAGAUGCCUGACAUGCACUUCAAGGCCCCCAAGAUCUCCAUGCCUGACGUGGACUUACACUUGAAAGGCCCCAAAGUCAAGGGGGACGUGGAUGUGACGGUGCCCAAGAUAGAAGGUGAAGUGAAAGUUCCUGAAGUGGACAUCAAAGGCCCCAAAGUGGACAUUGAUGCUCCAGAUGUGGAUGUUCAUGGUCCAGACUGGCACCUGAAGAUGCCCAAGGUGAAAAUGCCCAAGUUCAGCAUGCCUGGCUUCAAAGGAGAGGGCCCUGAGGUGGAUGUGAAUCUACCAAAGGCUGACAUUGAGGUCUCAGGACCCAAGGUGGACAUUGAGACUCCAGAUGUGAAUAUUGAAGGUCCAGAUGCAAAGCUGAAGGGCCCCAAGUUCAAGAUGCCCAAGCUAAAUAUCAAGGCUCCCAAGAUUUCCAUGCCAGAUGUGGACUUGAAUUUGAAGGGGCCUAAGCUGAAAGGAGAGAUAGAUGCUUCUGUGCCAGAAAUGAAGGCUGAUCUCAGAGGUCCUCAAGUUGAUGUCAAAGGCCCCAGUGUGGAUGUGGAAGUGCCUGAUGUUGACCUGGAAUGUCCCGAUGCAAAGUUGAAGGGCCCCAAGUUCAAGAUGCCCGACAUGCACUUCAAGGCCCCCAAGAUCUCCAUGCCUGAUGUGGACUUACACUUGAAAGGCCCCAAAGUCAAGGGGGAUGUGGAUGUGACGGUGCCCAAACUGGAAGGAGAUUUGAAAGGCCCCAGUGUGAAUGUGGAAGUGCCUGAUGUUGACCUGGAAUGUCCCGAUGCAAAGUUGAAGGGCCCCAAGUUUAAAAUGCCUGACAUGCACUUCAAGGCCCCCAAGAUCUCCAUGCCUGAUGUGGACUUACACUUGAAAGGCCCCAAAGUCAAGGGGGAUGUGGAUGUGACGGUGCCCAAACUAGAAGGAGAUUUGAAAGGCCCCAGUGUGGAUGUGGAAGUGCCUGAUGUUGACCUGGAAUGUCCUGAUGCAAAGCUGAAGGGCCCCAAGUUCAAGAUGCCUGACAUGCACUUCAAGGCCCCCAAGAUCUCCAUGCCUGAUGUUGAUUUCAACUUAAAGGGUCCUAAAAUCAAAGGAGAUAUUGAUGUUUCAGUCCCAAAGCUUGAGGGGGAAUUAAAGGCUCCAGAACUGGAUGUCAAGGGCCCCAAAUUGGAUGCUGACAUGCCAGAAGUAGCUGUGGAAGGCCCAGAAGGUAAAUGGAAAAGUCCUAAAUUCAAGAUGCCAGAAAUGCACUUUAAAGCUCCAAAAAUCUCCAUGCCAGACAUUGAUCUUCACUUAAAGAGUCCAAAGAUAAAGGGGGAGAUUGAUGUAGAUGUCCCCAAAUUGGAAGGAGACCUCAAAGGGCCAAAUGUGGACAUGAGUGGGCCAGACAUUGAAAUUGAAGGACCAGAAGGCAAAUUGAAAGGCCCUAAGUUCAAAAUGCCUGAGAUGAACAUCAAAGCUCCUAAAAUCUCCAUGCCAGAUUUGCAUCUUAAGGGUCCCAAGGUAAAGGGAGAUGUGGAUGUUUCCCUACCCAAAGUGGAAGGAGACCUCAAAGGCCCAGAGGUUGACAUCAAAGGACCCAAAGUGGACAUUGAUGUUCCAGAUGUGGACGUUCAUGGUCCAGACUGGCACCUGAAGAUGCCCAAGAUGAAAAUGCCUAAGUUCAGCAUGCCUGGCUUCAAAGCAGAGGGCCCUGAAGUGGAUGUGAAUCUACCACAGGCUGACAUUGAGGUCUCAGGACCCAAAGUGGACAUUGAGGCUCCAGAUGUGAAUAUUGAAGGUCCAGAAGGGAAACUGAAGGGUCCCAAGUUCAAGAUGCCUGAGAUGAACAUCAAGGCUCCUAAAAUCUCCAUGCCUGAUUUGCAUCUUAAGGGUCCCAAAAUAAAGGGAGAUGUGGAUGUUUCCUUGCCCAAAGUGGAAGGCGACCUCAAAGGUCCAGAGGUUGAUAUUACAGGCCCUAAAGUGGACAUUGAUGUUCCUGAUGUUAGCAUUGAAGGUCCAGAGGGCAAACUGAAGGGCCCCAAGUUCAAGAUGCCUGAGAUGAACAUCAAAGCCCCCAAGAUCUCCAUGCCUGACAUUGAUCUUAACCUGAAAGGCCCCAAAAUGAAGGGUGAUGUGGACGUGUCUCUGCCCAAAAUGGAAGGUGAGAUUAAAGUUCCUGAAGUUGACAUCAAAGGACCCAAAGUGGACAUUGAUGUUCCAGAUGUGGACGUUCAUGGUCCAGAUUGGCAUCUAAAGAUGCCCAAGGUGAAAAUGCCCAAAUUCAGCAUGCCUGGCUUCAAAGCAGAGGGCCCUGAAGUGGAUGUGAACCUGCCUAAGGCUGACAUUGGUGUCUCAGGACCUAAAUUGGAUAUUGAAGGCCCUGAUGUAAACAUUGAAGGACCAGAAGGAAAGUUGAAAGGUCCUAAGUUCAAGAUGCCUGAGAUGAACAUCAAAGCUCCUAAAAUCUCCAUGCCUGAUUUGCAUCUUAAGGGUCCCAAAAUAAAGGGAGAUGUGGAUGUUUCCUUGCCCAAAGUGGAAGGAGACCUCAAAGGUCCAGAGGUUGAUAUUACAGGCCCUAAAGUGGACAUUGAUGUUCCUGAUGUUAGCAUUGAAGGUCCAGAGGGCAAACUGAAGGGCCCCAAGUUCAAGAUGCCUGAGAUGAACAUCAAAGCUCCUAAAAUCUCCAUGCCUGAUUUACAUCUUAAGGGCCCCAAAGUCAAGGGAGAUGUGGAUGUUUCCCUACCCAAAGUGGAAGGAGACCUCAAAGGCCCAGAGGUUGACAUCAAAGGACCCAAAGUGGACAUUGAUGUUCCAGAUGUGGACGUUCAUGGUCCAGAUUGGCAUCUGAAGAUGCCCAAGGUGAAAAUGCCCAAGUUCAGCAUGCCUGGCUUCAAAGGAGAAGGCCCUGAAGUGGAUGUGAACCUGCCUAAGGCUGACAUUGAGGUCUCAGGACCCCAGGUGGACAUCGAUACUCCUGACAUUGACAUCCAUGGUCCGGAAGGGAAACUGAAGGGCCCCAAGUUUAAGAUGCCUGAUCUUCACCUCAAGGCACCCAAGAUCUCAAUGCCAGAGGUUGAUCUGAACCUGAAAGGGCCAAAAGUGAAGGGUGAUGUGGAUAUUUCUCUGCCAAAAGUGGAAGGAGACUUCAAAGGCCCAGAGGUUGACAUCAAAGGCCCCAAAGUGGACAUUGAUGUUCCAGAUGUGGACGUUCAUGGUCCAGACUGGCACCUGAAGAUGCCCAAGAUGAAAAUGCCCAAGUUCAGCAUGCCUGGCUUCAAAGGAGAGGGCCCUGAAGUGGAUGUGAAUCUACCAAAGGCUGACAUUGAGGUCUCAGGACCCAAGGUGGACAUUGAUGUUCCAGAUGUGAAUAUUGAAGGUCCAGAAGGGAAACUGAAGGGUCCCAAGUUCAAGAUGCCUGAGAUGAACAUCAAGGCUCCCAAGAUCUCCAUGCCUGACUUUGAUUUGCAUCUGAAAGGCCCCAAAGUGAAGGGAGAUGUGGAUGCUUCCCUGCCUAAAAUGGAAGGUGAAUUUAAAGGCCCCAGUAUUGAUAUCAAGGGCCCCAGUGUGGAUAUUGACACUCCUGAUGUCAAUAUUGAAGGUCCAGAAGGAAAAUUAAAAGGACCCAAAUUUAAAAUGCCAGACAUGCACAUCAAAGCACCAAAGAUUUCCAUGCCUGACUUUGACUUAAACCUUAAAGGGCCCAAGGUAAAAGGAGAUGUGGACCUUGCAGUACCUAAGGUGGAAGGUGAUCUCAAAGGGCCAGAGAUAGACAUUGAGGGUCCCGAAGGAAAACUCAAAGGUCCCAAAUUUAAGAUGCCAGAUGUCCAUUUCAAAACCCCACAAAUUUCAAUGAGUGACAUUGAUUUGAACAUGAAAGGACCUAAGAUAAAGGGAGAUUUGGACGUUUCUAUUCCUAAACUAGAAGGGGAUUUGAAAGGUCCCAAAGUGGAUGUCAAAGGCCCCAAACUGGACAUUGAUACUCCUGACAUUGACAUCCAUGGUCCAGAAGGGAAGCUGAAGGGCCCCAAGUUUAAAAUGCCUGAUCUCCACCUCAAGGCACCCAAGAUCUCAAUGCCAGAGAUUGACCUGAACCUGAAAGGGCCAAAAGUGAAGGGUGAUGUGGAUGUUUCUCUUCCAAAAGUGGAAGGAGACCUCAAAGGCCCAGAAGUUGACAUCAAAGGCCCCAAAGUGGACAUUGAUGUUCCAGAUGUGGACGUUCAUGGUCCAGACUGGCAUCUGAAGAUGCCCAAGGUGAAAAUGCCCAAGUUCAGCAUGCCUGGCUUCAAAGGAGAGGGCCCUGAAGUGGAUGUGAACCUGCCUAAGGCUGACAUUGAGGUCUCAGGACCCAAGGUGGACAUUGAUGUUCCAGAUGUGAACAUUGAAGGUCCUGAUGCAAAGUUGAAGGGUCCCAAGUUCAAGAUGCCUGAGAUCAACAUCAAGGCUCCUAAGAUCUCCAUGCCUGAUGUGGAUCUGGAGUUAAAAGGACCAAAAGUAAAGGGAGACUUUGAUGUGUCUGUUCCUAAGAUUGAAGGUACACUCAAAGGACCUGAAGUAGACCUGAAAGGUCCAGGCCUAGAUUUCGAAGGCCCUGAUGCUAAACUUAGUGGUCCUAACUUGAAGAUGCCAUCAUUGGAUAUAUCUGCUCCUAAAGUAACUGGACCUGAUGUUAAUUUGCACCUCAAGACACCAAAAAUUGGAGUUUCUGGGCCCAAGUUAGGAGGUGAAUUGGACGUCAAGGGCCCCAAAGUUGAUUUAGAAACGCCAAGCUUAGAUGUCCACAUGGAGAGCCCAGAUAUUAAUAUUGAGGGGCCAGAUGUUAAAGUUCCAAAGUUUAAGAAACCCAAGUUUGGAUUUGGUGCAAAAAGCCCUAAAGCUGACAUCAAGACACCCUCGGUUGAUGUGACUGUCCCUGAAGCAGAGCUGAGUGUUGAGACUCCUGAAGUAAGUGUUGGCGGAAAGGGCAAGAAAAGCAAGUUUAAAAUGCCUAAAAUCCACAUGAGUGGUCCUAAAGUUAAGGCCAAAAAGCAGGGAUUUGAUUUGAAUGUUCCUGGAGGUGAGGUUGAUGCCAGCCUUAAGGCUCCUGAAGUGGAUAUUGGCGGGGCAGGUCCUGAUGUUGCACUCAAAGGUGAUGUCAAGUCUCCCAAAGUCAAGAAAACCAUGUUUGGGAAAAUGUAUUUCCCAGACGUAGAAUUUGAUAUUAAGUCACCUAAAUUUAAAGCAGAGGCUUCCCUACCUAGCCCCAAGAUGGAGGGUGAAAUCAAGGUACCUGACCUGGAUAUUUCUUCCCCGGGGAUUAAUGUGGAAGCUCCUGACAUUCAUGUGAAGGCUCCCAAGUUCACGGUCCCAGGUGUGGAUGUCUCAGGGCCGAAGAUAGAGGGCAACUUGAAAGGUCCUAAGGUGCAGGCAAACUUGGACACACCUGACAUCAGCAUCGAAGGCUCUGAUGCCAAAAUCAAAGCCCCCUCAUUUAGUGUUUCUGCCCCUCAGGUCUCCAUACCUGAUGUGAAUGUUCAGUUGAAAGGACCAAAGAUAAAGGGUGAUGUUCCCAGUGUGGGACUGGAAGGACCUGACAUAGAUUUGCAAAGUCCAGAAGGAAAAAUCAAGUUCCCUAAGUUUUCACUGCCCAAGAUUAGUGCCCCUAGUAUGAAAAUGGAAGGUGGGGGCACUGAGAUCUGUGCCCAGAUGCCCUCCUUUGAAGGAAGCUUGAGCACAUCAGAUGUUAAGUUUGAAGGGCCUGAUAUGUCUCUAAAAGGCCCAGGAGUGGACUUGCCUUCAGUGAAUCUCUCUAUGCCAAAAGUUUCUGGGCCUGAUCUUGACCUGAACUUGAAAGGACCAAGUUUGAAAGGAGACCUGGAUGCAUCCAGUCCCAGCAUGAAGCUGCAGACCCCAGGUCUUGACCUCAAAGGUGUUGGUGGAAAAGUACAGAUAGGAGGAGAUGGUGUGAAGGUGUCAGGGAUUGAUGCCACAACAGCACUUAAUGUGGGGGCACCAGACGUGACGCUGAAGGGACCAAGCCUACAGGGAGAUCUGGCUAUGUCUGGGGACAUCAAGUGCCCUAAAAUAUCCGUGGGUGCUCCUGAUCUCAGUUUGGAGGCCUCAGAGGGUGGUAUCAAACUUCCCCACAUGAAGCUGCCUCAGUUUGGCAUCUCCACUCCAGGGUCCGACUUGGACAUGAACAUCAAGGGGCCACAAGUUUGUGGAGAACUAAAGGGGCCGGGGAUGGAUGUGAACCUGAAGGGGCCCCAUGUCUCAGCUCCAAGCAUGGACUUUAACGUGGAAGGACCAAAAGUGAAGGGGAGCCUUGGGGCCGCUGGUGAACUGAAAGGCCCAGCAGUUGGGGGAAGUCUUCCAGGUAUCAGUGUUCAAGGCCUAGAAGGAAAUCUCCAAAUGCCUGGAAUUAAGGCUUCUGGGUGUGAUGUGAAACUCCCAACGGGGCAGCUUUCUGGUCCCGAAAUUAAAGGAGAUCUGAAAGGUUCAGGAAUAGGUCUGCAUGAUGUCAGCGUCAAGGGGCCUUCCUUUAACACAGCAUCACCUGAGUCAGAUUUUGGUGUCAGCUUGAAGGGCCCCAAAGUCAAAGGAGGUGUAGAUGUCUCAGGGGGUGUCAGUGUCCCAGAUAUCAACCUGGGUGAAGGGCAUAUGAGUGUCAAAGGCUCUGGGGUUGAGUGGAAGGGACCCCAGGUCUCCUCCUCUCUAAACUUGGAUACAUCUAAACUUGCUGGGAACCUUCAUUUCUCAGGACCAAAGAUAGAAGGCGGUGUGAAAGGAGGCCAGAUUGGACUCCAAGGUCCUGGGCUGAGUGUGUCUGGGCCUCAGGGUCACUUGGAAAGUGGAUCUGGAAAAGUAACGUUCCCCAAGAUGAAGAUCCCCAAAUUUACCUUCUCUGGCCGUGAGCUUGUUGGCAGAGAAGUAGGGGUGGAUGUCAACUUCCCUAAAGUAGAGGCCAAUGUGCAGGCUGGUGCAGAAGGUGACUGGGAAGAGUCUGAAGUAAAACUUAAAAAAUCCAAAAUCAAAAUGCCGAAGUUUAAUUUUUCCAAGCCUAAAGGGAAAGGUGGUGUCACUGGCUCACCAGAAGCAUCCAUUUCUGGGUCCAAAGGGGACCUGAAGAGCUCAAAGGCCAGCUUGGGCUCUCUGGAAGGAGAAGCAGAUGCUGAAGCAUCUUCACCAAAAGGCAAAUUCUCCCUGUUUAAAAGCAAGAAACCAAGACACCGCUCCAACUCCUUCAGCGAUGAGAGGGAGUUCUCUGCGCCUUCCACCCCAACUGGGACUUUGGAAUUUGCAGGUGGAGAAGUUAAAGGCAAACAUGGAAAGCUGAAAUUUGGUACCUUUGGUGGGUUGGGUUCAAAGAGCAAAGGUCAUUAUGAGGUGACAGGGAGUGAUGAUGAGGCAGUCAAGUUACAGGGGAGUGGAGUGUCCUUGGCCUCCAAGAAGUCCCGGCUGUCUUCCUCCUCCAGCAAUGACAGUGGGCCUAAGGUUGGCAUCCAGCUACCUGAAGUAGAACUAUCAAUUUCCACAAAGAAAGAGUAGUGUGCCUUGAAUGUGUGUACAUAUAUAUAUAUAAAUACAUCAGCCUUGGGUGUGUUUGUAUAUAAAUUCCAAAGAGAAACACCCCAACAGCCUCAGCAAUAAUAGAGAUCUUGCCUCCACCAGUGGCAAGUGCUGACAAACCAAGUGCCUCUAGGCUCCUGGGACUCUGCAGCUAGGUAAAGGGUUCUAAGUUCAUCUGGCCCAUGUGCAAAGUCAACAGUAUUUGCCUUAAGAUUUCAGCUUUUGGUUUCUUUCUUUCUUUCUUUUUCUUUUCUUUUUUGCAUUGAACGCUGAGAGCCCGUGUUUACUAAGCAAGCUUUGUGUUUAUCAUCCUUAUUUUUACUGAGCAUUGUUAGUACCUGGGUAAUGGAAACCCACUUUUUUUUUUCAUUGUAAUGACUUUGGGGACUUUUGUGAGUAAAAGAGGGUGGGAUAAAACAUAGCAGAGGGGGCCAGGUCUUUGUUGCUCUGAAGGUUGGAAAUGUACAAACAGCACCACCUUGGCAUGGCUCAGAGGAGGUGGCAGCCAACCUCUACAGAGAACAGUUUCUCAGUUCUCUGUAGCAUGAAUUUUUAUCCCCAGGUGUGUUAGUUCCAGCCUAGUUUGGUGCUCAAGGUGAGAGGGGGAUUUGAAUAUGUUUGCAAACUAUCCAACCCAUCCCAUCAAGGUGAGGGGCUUCCAUUCUGGGUUGGUAAGAAAAGUGUUCAUUCAUGACUGCCAUGUUCUGAUUCCUUUUAACAAAUGUCAUCGUGAUUAAGGAAAUAUCUGGCACUUUAAUGGCAAAUUAAUUCAGAAUGUAAGAAAGUUGAUGCUGUACAAGGCAAAUAAAGCCAUUUAUUAACCCUGAUGUAUUCUGCUCCUGCAUUUUGUGUUGAGGGGAUGGAGCUAAGGGAGACUGCACACACAGCCCUCACUAUUUGGACUUGAUCCACCCAAUGGCAUUGCUAGGUUUGCUGGUGGCUUUAAGGUGUGACCUCUGCACAGGUACUGGGAGGAAGUCUUUGCUUCUUGAUUCUCAUGGCAGACUGGCCACAUCACUGCUGAGCAAUCAAGAGUCGCCAGUGGCCAUUACUCACUAUAGAAUGCCUACCUUUGCACGAGCAAGGCAUUAAAGGGGUGGGGGGCGGGGCUGAGGAUGUAUGAGAGCCUGGGUUAAACCCCCAGAAACUCUGUAAGACCUGGUGUGGUGGGUCACAGCUGCAAUUCCAACACAUGGGGGUGGAGGUAGGAGGACUCUCUUUUCUUUCCUUCCCUUUUCUUUUCUUUCAUUUUCCUUCCUUCCUUCUUUCUUUUUUUUUUUUUUUGUAUCAUUGAGACAUGCAUUUUGUGUUUUGAGACACACUGUAGCCAAGUAUCUUAGGCUGUCCUGGAAAUCACACUAUAGUCUCAGCUGGCCUUGAAUUUAACACAACCUUCCUGUCUCAGCAUCUUGAGUGUUGGGGUUUCAAGUGUGAGCCAUUACACCCACAUACAGGGCUGGGAAGAUAACCACUGGGGUGUUGUGGGAGGAUUCCCUGGACUGAACUACCCAAGCUGUCCCAUUGUACAUCAAUUCAUUUAUUUUUAGCUUGAGGAAGGGGAGGUAUAGACUAGUAUGGUCUGGAAUGUCCACUCAUUCAGUAAAUACUUUUUGAGCACCAUGGCUAGAUGCUGUCCAGUAUUUUCAAAACCCUCUUCUGCUGACCAAAUGAUGUAAUGCAUAUAAAAAUCCAGAAUGUUUUGAACUCUGAAAAAAGGGGUGGGGUUGGGGGGAUGACACAGCUAGUGGAGAUGAUGAGGCCCCCCAGUCCUCUGGGUGAUAAUUUACUGGCUGGGACAGUUGGGAGUCCUGGGUAGAAUGGGUAGGGACUAACUGGACAUUAAACCUUAAGGCGUCUCACAGGUGUUCUCAUAUAAGGCUCAGGCUGGAGACAGUGACUACAGAACAGGAGGUCUCCAUCUUACAGGGGCAUCACCACAGAAGGAGCAGCAUGGAAGGAGGCAUGAAGGGCUGGAGAGUAACUUCUGUUCUGCAUCUUCCUCUGGACUGCUGGCAUCACGGUCCUGUAUGCUACCACUCUGGUUUAGGCAGUGCUGGGGAUUGAACCCACUAUGAACCUCUGAUAUGCUAGGCUGACACUACCCAAUAUGCUACAUCCCCAGAAGUAAUAUUUUUGUUCUUUCUCUGUUGUGACUGCAUUCAGAGAUAACUAUGCAUUAAAAAAGGAUAAUUUGGACUAGUGGGUGCAGUGGGUAAGUGAUUGCUGCAAAAAGCCUGAUGACCUGAGUUUGAUCCCUGGGAUCCACACGGUAGAAGGAGAGAACUGACUCCUGCAGGUUGUUCUCUGACUUCCAGGCAAACACACACAAAAUGUAAGAAGGAGGUUAAGUUUUUAAAAAGGAAAAGAAGACUAUUUCCUUGGGGAAACAGAGUUUUCUCAUUUUUGCAAAGAGCCAAAGGGACUGGAAGAUGCUGCAGAGGUCCCAGGAUCCUCAAAAGAGUUCUGGCCUUGGAGUCGCUGGGAUUAAUCUCCCAUGUUGGGUAUAUUAGGGUCCAUUAUGAGCCCCUCGUGACUUCCUGGUAAUGUGGAUAAGGCAUUAGAGUCUCUAGGUCCUUGACACUUCCCACAGCCCAUGAUCUCUUUGGAAGCAGGCUGGAGAGUUAGGUGGAUGGGUCAUUUUGGGUGGAAAGCAAGGUUUGGUUGCAACACUGAGUGAUUAUUUUCCUGUGUGGUAGAGAAUUGUUUGAAAUGUUUUGAGCAGAAGUGUCAGUGCUGAAGUGCUAAGUCUCCAGCCUCCUAGACCAAAAUGGGCAGCCCCUACCAGGGCUUGCAAGAGGCUAAUGCACAGCCUAUUUCAGAGUACCAUUUGAGCUGUGAGGUUAGGAAAUGCAACCCCGGGUGACUCAGCUAAGCAUGCAACUGAAGGUGUUAGUUCCUCCUCCAUCCUUCCUUUUAUCAUCCCCGACACCCUCCAGGGUCUCACUAUGAAGCUCUGACUGGCCUGAAACUCAUUAUGUAGACCAGGCUGGCCUCAAACUCAGAGAUCUGCCCGCCUCUGCAUUCUGAGUGCUGGGAUUAAAGGCAUGGUCAGCACAUGGUCUCCAAUUCUUAAAUGAUUUUCUUAUUUACUUUAAUAUCUCUCUGUAUAGAUACUAUAAUAAUCCUCUUUUUUUUUUUUUUUUUUGCUGAGUUGUUCUGUAGAUAUCAUAGCAUUUUAAUCCCCAAGUGUUUCAGUAUAUGUGGACAUUUCCUUAUGCAACCCAACAUAAAAUUAUAUUCAGUAAAUUUCACAUUGACCUAUUACUCAAUUUAUCAUCCAUUCAUACAUUUCUUGAUUACCCCUAUAGUUUCUUUAACAGAGCUGAACUUUCCUUCCAGUUAGCUUUCAACCAUCUGAUUCCCCCUUGGAAUUUACUUGUCUUCUUCUCUAUUUUCUCAGUCUAUUAUUUUUUGUUUUUAAUGCUGUCUGACACAGUCUCACCCUUGUUGCCUAGACUGUCCUGAGACUUUCUAUGUAUGAUUGGCCUCACAACUAAAGCUGAUCCUACUGCCUCAGCCUCUCAGAUUCUGGGAUUGCAGUUAUAAGCUACUAUUGCUUCAAUUUAGGUCUCACUGUGUAACUCCGGCUGGCCUGGAAAGUCCCUUUAUAGUUAGGGCUGGCCUCAAACUCACAAUUCUUCUGCCUUUGCCUACCAAAGUUUAUACAACCACAUCCAGAAGCUGUAAUUUUUUUUUUAAUUGUGUGUGUGUGUGUGUGUGUGUGUGUGUCUCAAGUGUGGAAGUCAGUGGACAUGACUUGGGACAAAGGGACCAUGUGUUCUUACAGACUGAACUCAGGUUCUCAGGCUUGGCAGCAGGCCAAGGCACGGGCGUUGAUCUUUUUGAAGGGUAAGGAGCCAGUUGUUUCGUAGCCAUGUCCCUUAGUCUGGUGUGUCUGAUGAUGUCCCUCAUGCUCACAUCAGGUGAUGGAUGCAUUUGGGGAGAGGACACUCACAGAAGUAAUGUUGGGUGCAUUGUAGCUCAUCCUUCAGAAGGCAUGGAAGUGUGCUAAGUCCACCU
rnacentral:lncRNA from 1 species